rnacentral:rRNA from 1 species
UACGUAGGGGGCAAGCGUUGUCCGGAUUUAUUGGGCGUAAAGAGCGUGUAGGCGGCCACACAGGGCUGCUGUGAAAACUCGAGGCUCAACCUCGAGCUGUCGGUGGAAACCGUGUGGCUAGAGUCCGGAAGAGGAGAGUGGAAUUCCCGGUGUAGCGGUGAAAUGCGCAGAUAUCGGGAAGAACACCCGCGGCGAAGGCGGCUCUCUGGGACGGUACUGACGCUGAGACGCGAAAGCGUGGGGAGCGAACAGG